CGUGCAGCCGGGUCGGUAAGUCAGAUGUGAAAUCUGGAGGCUCAACCUCCAAACUGCAUUUGAAACUGCUGAUCUUGAGUAUCGGAGAGGUAAUCGGAAUUCCUUGUGUAGCGGUGAAAUGCGUAGAUAUAAGGAAGAACACCAGUGGCGAAGGCGGAUUACUGGACGACAACUGACGGUGAGGCGCGAAAGCGUGGGGAGCAAACAGGAUUAGAUACCCGCGUA
rnacentral:rRNA from 1 species